AGUCGUAACAAGGUCUCCGUAGGUGAACCUGCGGAGGGAUCAUUACAAGUGACCCGGCUCUGACACCGGUAUGUCCAUCAGGCCAUUUGUUCAGUCAGCCAUUGUCGUCCGUCGUUCGUCCGUUGCCCGGGUCCGGGACCCGUACCGCCUUGCCUCGGGGCCGGGGGCCUGCCGGGUCGGGACACGUUCAAACUCUUUCGCAGUAAUCUUUGGCAAGUCUGAGUAAUCUUAAACUUUAAUUAAUUA
rnacentral:misc_RNA from 1 species